AACAGCGUAAUAUCUUUUUAAAGAUCAUAUUGAAAAAGAUGAUUGCGACCUCGAUGUUG
rnacentral:tRNA from 1 species